AUUGUUGUCGAAAUGGUCGCCGGCGAUGAUCGCUUCGCCGGAAAGGAUGUAGAGC
rnacentral:sRNA from 1 species